GACGAACGCUGGCGGCGUGCUUAACACAUGCAAGUCGAACGGAAAGGCCCUGCUUUUGUGGGGUGCUCGAGUGGCGAACGGGUGAGUAACACGUGAGUAACCUGCCCUUGACUUUGGGAUAACUUCAGGAAACUGGGGCUAAUACCGGAUAGGAGCUCCUGCUGCAUGGUGGGGGUUGGAAAGUUUCGGCGGUUGGGGAUGGACUCGCGGCUUAUCAGCUUGUUGGUGGGGUAGUGGCUUACCAAGGCUUUGACGGGUAGCCGGCCUGAGAGGGUGACCGGCCACAUUGGGACUGAGAUACGGCCCAGACUCCUACGGGAGGCAGCAGUGGGGAAUAUUGCACAAUGGGCGGAAGCCUGAUGCAGCAACGCCGCGUGCGGGAUGACGGCCUUCGGGUUGUAAACCGCUUUCGCCUGUGACGAAGCGUGAGUGACGGUAAUGGGUAAAGAAGCACCGGCUAACUACGUGCCAGCAGCCGCGGUGAUACGUAGGGUGCGAGCGUUGUCCGGAUUUAUUGGGCGUAAAGGGCUCGUAGGUGGUUGAUCGCGUCGGAAGUGUAAUCUUGGGGCUUAACCCUGAGCGUGCUUUCGAUACGGGUCGACUUGAGGAAGGUAGGGGAGAAUGGAAUUCCUGGUGGAGCGGUGGAAUGCGCAGAUAUCAGGAGGAACACCAGUGGCGAAGGCGGUUCUCUGGGCCUUUCCUGACGCUGAGGAGCGAAAGCGUGGGGAGCGAACAGGCUUAGAUACCCUGGUAGUCCACGCUGUAAACGGUGGGUACUAGGUGUGGGGUCCAUUCCACGGGUUCCGUGCCGUAGCUAACGCUUUAAGUACCCCGCCUGGGGAGUACGGCCGCAAGGCUAAAACUCAAAGGAAUUGACGGGGCCCCGCACAAGCGGCGGAGCAUGCGGAUUAAUUCGAUGCAACGCGUAGAACCUUACCUGGGUUUGACAUGGAUCGGGAGUGCUCAGAGAUGGGUGUGCCUCUUUUGGGGUCGGUUCACAGGUGGUGCAUGGCUGUCGUCAGCUCGUGUCGUGAGAUGUUGGGUUAAGUCCCGCAACGAGCGCAACCCUUGUUCACUGUUGCCAGCACGUUAUGGUGGGGACUCAGUGGAGACCGCCGGGGUCAACUCGGAGGAAGGUGGGGAUAACGUCAAGUCAUCAUGCCCCUUAUGUCCAGGGCUUCACGCAUGCUACAAUGGCUGGUACAGAGAGUGGCGAGCCUGCGAGGGUGAGCGAAUCUCGGAAAGCCGGUCUCAGUUCGGAUUGGGGUCUGCAACUCGACCUCAUGAAGUCGGAGUCGCUAGUAAUCGCAGAUCAGCAACGCUGCGGUGAAUACGUUCCCGGGGGCU
rnacentral:rRNA from 1 species